UUAAAACGCUCGUAGUUGGAUAUUUGUUGAGAACUGCCGGUCUACCCCAGUGGUCAGCACACGGUCUGUUCUCGGCACUUUCCUGGGGAGAGUGUUUGCACUUCACUGUGUGGCACAUGAUCCAGAACUUUUACUUUGAGGAAAUGAGAGUGUUUCAAGCAGGCGCCUGUCGUGAAUACGUUAGCAUGGAAUAAUAGCAUGGGACCGCGGUCUGAAGCUGUUGGUUUUUGGGCCGUGGUAAUGAAAAUAGGGAUAGUUGGGGGUACUCGUAUUUAACUGUCAGAGGUGAAAUUCUUGGAUUUUUUAAAGACGGACUACUGCGAAAGCAUCUGCCCAGGAUGUUUUUAUUGAUCAAGAACGAAAGUUAGGGGAUCGAAGACGAUCAGAUACCGUCCUAGUCUUAACCAUAAACCAUGCCGACUAGAGAUUUGGGUCGUCAGAAUCGUGACGCCCUGAGCACCUUAGGGGAAACCAAAGUCUUCGGGUUCCGGGGGGAGUAUGGUCGCAAGGCUGAAACUUAAAGGAAUUGGCGGAAGGGCACCACCAGGAGUGGAGCCUGCGGCUAAUUUGACUCA
rnacentral:rRNA from 1 species